CCCGCCUUAACUCAGCCUGGAUAGAGUGGCCGGCUGUAGACCGGCAUGUCCCCGGUUCAAAUCCGGGAGGCGGGA
rnacentral:tRNA from 1 species